rnacentral:rRNA from 1 species
GACGAACGCUGGCGGCGUGCUUAACACAUGCAAGUCGAACGAAGAGCGAUGGAAGCUUGCUUCUAUCAAUCUUAGUGGCGAACGGGUGAGUAACGCGUAAUCAACCUGCCCUUCAGAGGGGGACAACAGUUGGAAACGACUGCUAAUACCGCAUACGAUCUAACCUCGGCAUCGAGGAUAGAUGAAAGGUGGCCUCUAUUUAUAAGCUAUCACUGAAGGAGGGGAUUGCGUCUGAUUAGCUAGUUGGAGGGGUAACGGCCCACCAAGGCGAUGAUCAGUAGCCGGUCUGAGAGGAUGAACGGCCACAUUGGGACUGAGACACGGCCCAGACUCCUACGGGAGGCAGCAGUGGGGAAUCUUCCGCAAUGGACGAAAGUCUGACGGAGCAACGCCGCGUGAGUGAUGACGGCCUUCGGGUUGUAAAGCUCUGUUAAUCGGGACGAAAGGCCUUCUUGCGAAUAGUAGAAGGAU